rnacentral:rRNA from 1 species
GAUGAACGCUGGCGGCGUGCCUAAUACAUGCAAGUCGAACGCUGGAGAUCUAGCUUGCUAGAUCGAAGGAGUGGCGAACGGGUGAGUAAUACAUAAGCAACCUACCCACGAAGACUGGGAUAAUCUCUGGAAACGGGGACUAAUACCGGAUAGGUAAUCGGAAGGCAUCUUCUGGUGAUUAAAGGUUAAAAACACUGGUGGAUGGGCUUAUGGCGCAUUAGUUAGUUGGUGAGGUAACGGCCCACCAAGACGAUGAUGCGUAGCCGGCCUGAGAGGGUGAACGGCCACAUUGGGACUGAGACACGGCCCAGACUCCUACAGGAGGCAGCAGUAGGGAAUUUUCGGCAAUGGGGGCAACCCUGACCGAGCAACGCCGCGUGAGUGAAGACGGCCUUCGGGUUGUAAAGCUCUGUUGUAAGGGAAGAACGGUAGAUAGAGAAUAUCUAAGUGACGGUACCUUACCAGAAAGCCACGGCUAACUACGUG